ensembl:lncRNA
UGACCAAUCACCAGGCAGGAAUGUGCUUAAGGAAAUGUUCUGUUUCCUGAAAGCUGAGUUUCCUCCCAUCCACUGAGCUCCAGACCUGGCUGUUACUGACUUUUCAGAUGGUCUCUACAUCCAGGAGGUGGUUAUAGCAUGAACACUCAAGAGCUGGGCUUUGUUUUGAAUCCUGGAGUCCACAACUGAAGCAGAUGCUCUGCUACGUUUGACUGCUCCAGCCUCUACAGAGACACCAGUCUGCACCGAUGUGUCCUCUGUAGUCUAUCUGUAGUGGAAACAGCCAUGCCGACUGAAUCAGUCACUGAAGCGACUGCUAUACAGUUUCCCACACAGUCCGUGGAGAGUUCUGAUGGCCUGAUAUCUCAGCACAUAGAACAAGUGCCAUCCGCCGAGGGUCCACCAUCUGACAGCUGUAAGACGGCUGUUUCCCAGGCUUGCUGGGAAGUAAACGUGGCCUUUAUGCUUGUGGUUCUCGCCGGGUUCCUCAUCUUGGCUCUGUUUUACUGCGUCCUUCACCUGUGGCACAAACUGCGUUUGGCUCAGGCAGGAAAUGCUUUAGAGUACUUUGGAUUCUACCACAUGGCAAACUACAGCUUGAAACACCAACAUGAACCAGCAAGUUUACCUUCAGUGAAUACUGAUCCCCCUGUUCAGGUGCCUCCUUGUUAUCCACCUCAAACUGUGGUUCCUGAAAAUAGUCAUCCGGUCAUCCCUCCACUCCUCCCUCCACCACCUCUACUUUCAUCUCGACCACCCUCCGCCGUGCCUCUGCCGCACCCCAUCAUCUACACUACCCCACCCAGUCCGCAGUCUGACGCAGAGGUAUAUUCCCGCAUAGGCACUCUGCGGCCCUCCAGGCACUCGAGCGUGAGUCAGACACAGGUGGUUCUCUUUGAACACUCGUCCCUGUGACCCCCUCGGAAAAGAACUCUGUCCUCUGAACACUCGUCCCUGUGACCCCCUCGGAAAAGAACUCUGUCCUCUGUCUCUUCCAUCACAGCAUUUGCUAAGAGACUGCCUUUCACAGUCUAGUGAUUCUGUCAACUUUCAUGUCAUGUUUUUUUUUUUCUUGCAUCCUCGGAUGUAGCCUGUGGUACUACUCCAUCUCAUCCAUCUUCACAUGGGCAGAACAAUAUGUUGAGGCUGUUUUGACCGUUUAUAGUAUCAUUUUCAAUCUACAUGUAUUUGCUUCUUUAGAUUUGCACUAAAGCUAUGAAGGUUCUAACAGAUAACUUUCCAGUUUAGCACUGCCAUAUUAUAUUCCUUAAUAUCAUCACACUCACCUCAAACAGUUCUGAGACCACAUUUGUACUUUAGAGGAGAUAAUACAGAUAAUAUGUAGGGAAUAUGAGAUGUGCUUUUAUAGGAAAAUAAUGAAGGACAAUAUAGUAUAGGAUGAUAUGGACCGGGCGCACGGUGGCUUCCCACCAUGGCCCUGUGUGUGUGGAGUUUGCAUGUUCUCCCCAUGCUGCGGGGGUUUCCUCCGGGUACACCGGUUUCCUCCCCGAGUCCAAAGACAUGCCUGGUAGGAUGAUCUAAAGUGUCCGUAGUGUAUGAAUGGGUGUGUGAAUGUGAAUGUUUACGUGAGUGUGCCCUACGAUGGAUUGGCACCCCAUCCAGGGUGUACCGUGCCUUGUACCCCAUGAUCCCUGGGAUAGGCUCCAGGCUCCCCACGACCCAGUAGAAUAAGCGGUAUAGAAAAUGGAUGGAUGAUAUGGACCGAUGCAAAGUAAAUUAUUUUCCUGUAACAGCACAUCCCAGAGUGUUUUCUCCUCUUAUACCACAGCAAUUUGCAAACAACUGUAUUUUUGUAUUAAUUAACUUAUGUUACAGCAGCUAUAUGCAAGUGUUCUUUCACCAACCUCUCCCCCCCACCCCCCUCUCUUGUAGUUAAUAAGACAAAACAAAACCCACAGCUUUUACAGAUAAACUGCAAAGUGUAAACUCCUGUCCUGAAGAUUUUGACAUGGUGCACCUUCCAUAAAUAAAAAUCUCCUAAGAGAAAUCUCAAUGAUUAUACAUUUUUUUCAUCCGUUUAUUUUUAGUCUUAGAUUACGUAGAGCGUAUCUGCUAUACAAUCCCCUGUGCAUGAGCUGUUACCAUAGAGAUGUAUAGCAUUGGAAUGAGUGUAUUGAUAUAAACCUGUGAUGUAGAGCUGCACUACUGUCAGAACUACUAUCAUCAGGGCAAAUAGUGCAUGUUUUUGUAACUAGUACUCCUUUUUUAAAGUAUUAUAAGUUGUAGUCAGAGAUGUCAUAUUCAUACAGUGAUUCGUUCUGUAUGAUAUUAGAUUGUUUCGACAUGAUUGCUAGGCUCAGUGGCUAUAUUCCUUUUGAAGGCAUUAAUCCUGAUUUUGUUUUUGCUCCAGCAUGUUCCUCUUAUUUCCUUUGUUGCUCUGGCUUUCCUUCAUAGGGUGGGAUUUCCUGGACAGUUUUUCCACUGCAUUUGUUUUUUUUUUCUCCAACUUCCUCUCUUCUGUCUUAAAGGAGAAGUUCAGCCAAAAUCCCAGACCAUAUUAAAAAUGCUCUCUCUAUAUACAUUUCACUAUUGUUACUAAAUACAGUGCCCUCCACUAAUAUUGGCACCCUUGGUAAAUAUGAGCAAAGAAGGCUGUGAAAAAUUAUCUUUAUUGUUU